rnacentral:lncRNA from 12 species
CUGCCUUCACAUCCUCUGCUUAGAACACUCUCUCCCUGUCCAGUCCUUGAGAGCAAGCCUAGUAUCUUACUCAUUAUUUUACACUUGGCAACUAGCACAGGUAACUGGCCUAUGAUUCCCACUAGAGCCUUCUGGGGGAGAAUCAUCAUAAUUACCUCCCUUUCACAGAUGAAGAAAUUGAGGUUCAGAAAAGUGAAGUAACUGGAACUGAACCUAAAUUGAUUAUCCCAAGGUCACAAAGUUGGACACCAAUCUCUAAUACCCCAAAGUUAUUUUGUUUUCUCUACACCAGGCCACACUACCUCCUUUUUUGCCUGAGCAAGAUCUGCCAAGCUCCCCCUUUUUCCAGGAGCCAAGCCAGCUACCAUUUAACCGCCACGUUUACACCGGAUAAGCUCCCAGAACUAAGAUGGAUACUUUGGAAUGAUUAUGUGGCUUUAAUGAUUCAGGGCUGUCUACAGAGGACCCCCUGGACCCUCACAAGACCAUUCCACACUUGGACAACUGCUUCCCAGGGGCCUUGCAAGAGAACCAGAGGAAUCCUGAGGUCUUUCAGCCAAGGAAUGCUCCCGGAGAGCUGUUUAUCUUGGACAUGGGCAGAUGGCCAGGUACCACCAGGCAACGGCUGGCUCCACUAAAAAUUCAUGGGUCAUAGACGCUUGCUCCAGAAUGGCAACAACCUUGGAAUUUGUGACUUCCUCUCUCCCUUGUAGCAGCUAGCACAAUUAGAAAAAGCAGUACACGUGCAAUCACAGUAGCUAACAUUGAUCGAGUGCCUAUUCUAUGAUCUCAUCUUCAUGGAAACCCUAAUUAUCAUGAAUUCCAUUUUAUCGAUGAGGAAGCUAAGUCUUAGAGAUGUUAAAUGUCUUACUCAGGGGCACUCAUCGCUAGGAAGCAGAAGAGCCAGGAAUCUAGGACUAGGCAAAGACUGUAGAGGGGAAAAAAAAUCAUUGUACAGUAGUAUUAAUAGGACUAUUAACAUGAUUUUAUCUGGAACAUUCAGAUUUUUAUCAAACAAUUUUUAAAUAACAUUUAAUUAGAGGCUGAGUAUAGAAUGUGAUUAAAAAAAAAAAACACCCGAGGUUGGGGUUUCAUUUCCAUCAUUGAAUCCAAGGCAGUAUGGAAGCUGGAAUACUUGUGGUCAGGAAUCUGUUGUUUUUCUCCAAUUUAGCUUCCGAGAAAUUUGCAGACCUGUAAGAGAUGAAAGCGAGGGACUUUUCAAAAGAUGGUUACUUCCUUUUCAACUCCAUCUUUCACGUAGCUUAAUCCUUUCUGGGAUAAAUUGGGUUUACUAUGAAAUGUCUUCUUCUAAGACGCAGUUUCAAAACAGAUAUUUUUGUUCCCUUGUUUAAAAAUGCAUCGUCAACAAAUUGCUUGUGUUUAUUCAACUUGUCCAAAUAAAAGCCAUAUAAGGCUCA